UACGAAAGGGGCAAGCGUUGUUCGGAAUUACUGGGCGUAAAGGGCGCGUAGGCGGGUGGACAAGUCUCUCGUGAAAGCCCACGGCUCAACCGUGGAAUUGCGGGAGAUACUGUCUGUCUUGAGUCCGGGAGAGGAGGGUGGAAUUCCCAGUGUAGCGGUGAAAUGCGUAGAUAUUGGGAGGAAUACCGGUGGCGAAGGCGGCUCUCUGGACCGGUACUGACGCUGAGGCGCGAAAGCUAGGGGAGCAAACGGG
rnacentral:rRNA from 1 species